AUUGAACGCUGGCGGCAGGCCUAACACAUGCAAGUCGAACGAGUGGCGGACGGGUGUGUAAUGUCUGGGAAACUGCCCGAUGGAGGGGGAUAACUACUGGAAACGGUAGCUAAUACCGCAUACCAUCGGAUGUGCCCAGAUGGGAUUAGCUAGGAGGUGGGGUAAAGGCUCACCUAGGCGACGAUCCCUAGCUGGUCUGAGAGGAUGACCAGCCACACUGGAACUGUGACACGGUCCAUACUCCUACGGGAGGCAGCAGUGGGGAAUAUUGCACAAGGGGCGAAAGCCUGAUGCAGCAAUGCCGCGUGUAUGAAGAAGGCUUUCGGGUUGUAAAGUACUUUCAGCGGGGAAGCGUUACCCGCAGAAGAAGCAACGGCUAACUACGUGCCAGCAGCCGCGGUAAUAC
rnacentral:rRNA from 1 species